UCCCCAAUCCCCGAUCGAUCCCCAAUCUCAACCUCUCAACCCUCGAUCGACCUGCGCUGCCCCCGACCUACACCGCUGCCUCGACCCACUGCGCUGCCGCCCCUACCUGCGCCGCUGCCCAAACCCACUACACCGCGCCAACCCACUGCACCGCCGCCCCUACCUGGCCCGCUGCGCACCACCCUUCCAGGAGCUGCAGUUUCGUCCGCUGUGCGAGGAGCAGCAACACCGUCGACACCCACCAACAAGGAGAAGUAGCAGCGCGUCCACCUCGCCGAGGAGCAGCAGCGCGUCCACCCCACCGCCGCCAGACCGUCAACGUCCUCCACUGCCAGUUAUUCCCGAGCCAUCUCGUCCUCUGCCUAGAUCAGGAAGUGGUGAGGCUCGCUUGGAUCCAGCACGGGGCAUUUCCACUCUACUGGCUAGUCAAUAACUCAGUAAAGGACAACAUGAGAUUGGCAAACCAAUGAAAUGGGGGAGAGAGAGAGGGCCAUGCAGGCUUAUCUGAGUUGAACCAUCCUCUGCAGCCAACUUCUCUUCGGCAAGAGGAAGAAAGGAGAACCAGGGUAGGGUUUCAUGGCUAGAAGAUAUAUUGCUGUACCCCGAGUGAAGGGAAGGAGUUUGCUGGGUUUUGUCUCCGACCAUCGUGUCAUGAUGAUUUUGCAGGUACCCUGAGAGGCCCUUGAGUUUGCCGGAAUGUCGAUUAACUUCCGUUCCAACAAAUUCGGG